AGAGGUGGCAAGCGUUGUUCGGAAUUACUGGGCGUAAAGGGCGCGUAGGCGGCCGCCUAAGUCGGACGUGAAAUCCCCAAGCUUAACUUGGGAACUGCGUCUGAUACUGGGUGGCUUGAGUUCGGGAGAGGAAUGUGGAAUUCCAGGUGUAGCGGUGAAAUGCGUAGAUAUCUGGAGGAACACCGGUGGCGAAGGCGGCAUUCUGGACCGAAACUGACGCUGAUGCGCGAAAGCCAGGGGAGCAAACGGGAUUAGAUACCCCGGUAGUCCUGGCCCUAAACGAUGAGUGCUUGGUGUGGUGGGUAUCGAUCCCUGCCGUGCCGAAGCUAACGCAUUAAGCACUCCGCCUGGGGAGUACGGUCGCAAGGCUGAA
rnacentral:rRNA from 1 species